rnacentral:rRNA from 1 species
UACAGAGGGUGCAAGCGUUAAUCGGAAUUACUGGGCGUAAAGCGUGCGCAGGCGGUGAUGUAAGACAGUUGUGAAAUCCCCGGGCUCAACCUGGGAACUGCAUCUGUGACUGCAUCGCUGGAGUACGGUAGAGGGGGAUGGAAUUCCGCGUGUAGCAGUGAAAUGCGUAGAUAUGCGGAGGAACACCGAUGGCGAAGGCAAUCCCCUGGACCUGUACUGACGCUCAUGCACGAAAGCGUGGGGAGCAAACAGG